rnacentral:lncRNA from 1 species
CGAGAUCGCAUGCCUUCCGGCCUCCAGAACGAAGCCGCUCACCACAGAAAUGGGGUGACGACUCAGUUCCCAUGACUGAGCAGAGCCCUGAUACGUGACGACCAUCAGCUCCGUGGCCGGCCCAGGGAGGGCUCCUGCCCUGGUCCUCGAUGGCUUCCCUGCUGACCAGGGUGCUCCGAGCCUGCUUUGUACGUCUCCUGGCCCAGGUCUGGAGUCAACCAUGUCUCCAAGGAGCUCUGGGUCCCGCUGGUAGGAAGUGGUCUUUAGGGACCACACUCGGGGUGCUGGGGUGCUCACUGCCCUGAGAAGGUCAUAUGUCUGGGCCUUCUCCGUAGUCAGAGCUCAGAGCUACACAUACAGAGACGGAACCCCUCAUGAGUCCACACCGGAACCCCCAGCUCCAAGACUGCGUCUUUCAACAGAACCUCUUCGUAUGACAUCUUGUCUCCUUUCUUCCACACCAAGGGUGUGGGUCUCGAAGACACUGGGGAUGGUAGAACUAGGACCUCCCAAAAUUUCUCACACUUCAUCCUCACGGCACACGCGGCACCUCAGACUCCAAUGCCAGUGCCACCACAGCCACGCUUCUAGGAGACGGGACAGGAGCUUCCAGGCCCUCCCUUCACCUGCACUCUACAAUUCUUCAAUGCACCCCUCCAGUCCUUACGUCAAAAUGGAACCACCUUGAAGAGGCUCCCAGCGGCCAAGGCCCAGUAAACACUAGAAUUCCCAGGCACAGAGAGGAGAGCGAGAGGGGCCGCAGAGCAGAGAGGGCCAUGCGCCCCACGCGGGAUCAGGGUCCCGCUGGAGACACCCACGUCUUCGUGAGAGAGGACAUGUUUUCCCAAACCCAAACGAGGCCCCACACUGAGAGCGGAGCUCCUGCUCUGCCAUUGGGCCACUUCUGCGGACUUCCCAAGACCCUCCCCGGGAGAGUGGCUGCACGAGGUGGGAAGGGCAGUUUUACGGCUCCGCACAGUUAGAGAUUAACUCACUGAUAAGGCCCACGCAGGACUUCACCAGCAGGGUUUCUCAGCCACCACCCUUGGCCAUCACUUCGUUCCGCCAUAGUCAACUCCUUCCUCAAACACCCUGCACCUUUAUGGCCCCUCACUCUGCACUUUUAUAGCCCCUCUGCACUUUUAUGGGACGCACUGGCCAUCUGUUUGAGAUGCUGCUUUCACACUUACAAUACCCCCCUUGGCCUUGCGGCAGCAUGAAUCUGUCUCUGUUCUUUGCAACUGCCCAAUUAAAACAAUGACGUUUCCAGAGAAAUGCUACAGCCUUCUCAAGGCGGGCUCUUCCCUUUUGCCAAAAGACCUGCUGGUCCCACACCUGCAGGGGUCAGGUAGGGUGGUCAGUGUUGGAGCAACCGGGAAGGGGGUGACCUGGGGACCCAGGAGGUGAGCCCAGCCACAGGUGCCCGUGACCGACCCAGAGCACCGUGGGGCAGUAAAUGGGUGAUGUGUUCCACCAAGCAGAGAGAUGGUGUUUCUGUCCUUACACGCAGGAGUUACACAUUGUUACACAUUCUUUAAGGAGAGCCUGUGGCUGCACUACUGGGAAUUUACUAGAAACCAGCGAAUUGUGCACUCUAAUUGGGUAAAUUCUUUAGUGUGUGAAUUGCAUCUCAAUAAGGCUGUUAAAAAAAUAAAAAAUCAAUUAAAAAUGUUCAAGAGUUCAGCUGCUAAAAACCUUGAAAGCUG